rnacentral:other from 1 species
CAUGUACUGGGGUGUGCGUUAUCGACUAUUUUUGAACCUACAACAUUAAUACGAGAACCCGCGAUUGUUUUUGGAUGUCAUGCCUCUAUAAGUGGACGGCAGAAGAAAGCAAUAGGGUACUCACCUAGUCAACCGCUAGGGCGUCAAUAAUGAGAGACGGCACCUUGGUAUUGAG